rnacentral:RNase_P_RNA from 1 species
CCAGACGGUCGGAUGGCCGCCUCCCGGCAACGGGGAAACCCGCCGGGGGGAGGAAAGUCCGGGCUCCACGGGAACACGGUGCCGGUUAACGGCCGGCGGGGGUAACCCCAGGGAAAGUGCCACAGAGAGAAGACCGCCGCCUCUUCGGACGCGGCAAGGGUGAAAGGGUGCGGUAAGAGCGCACCGCAUCGGCGGUAACGUCGAUGGCAAGGUAAACCCCACCGGGAGCAAGACCGAAUAGGGACGGCACGCGGGCGCAAGCCCGCAGGCGGGUUUCCGCGCCGCUGUCCGGGUAGGUCGCGACGAGGCGCCCGGCAACGGGCGCCCCAGAUGAAUGGCCAUCCAUCGCCGUUGCUUAGGCGCGGCGGGGACAGAACCCGGCUUACAGACCGUCUGGACCU